GAUGAACGCUGGCGGCGUGCCUAAUACAUGCAAGUCGAACGGGGAGUAGCAAUACUCUUAGUGGCGAACGGGUGAGUAACGCGUUGGUACCUGCCCCGAAGCGGGGGAUAACGGACCGAAAGGUCCGCUAAUACCCCAUGUGCUCGGUAACGAGUAAAGGUGAAAACCACUUUGGGAGGGGCCUGCGUCCCAUCAGCUAGUUGGUAAGGUAACGGCUUACCAAGGCGAUGACGGGUAGGGGACCUGAGAGGGUGGCCCCCCACAAUGGAACUGAAACACGGUCCAUACACCUACGGGCGGCAGCAGUAGGGAAUAUUGGUAAUGGGCGCAAGCCUGAACCAGCAACGCCGCGUGUGCGAUGACGGCCUUCGGGUUGUAAAGCACUUUUGACUGGGACGAGGAAGGACGGUACCGGUCGAAUCAGCCUCGGCUAACUACGUG
rnacentral:rRNA from 1 species